CUACAGGCUUAACACAUGCAAGUCGAGGGGCAGCAUGGUCUUAGCUUGCUAAGGCCGAUGGCGACCGGCGCACGGGUGAGUAACACGUAUCCAACCUGCCGUCUACUCUUGGACAGCCUUCUGAAAGGAAGAUUAAUACAAGAUGGCAUCAUGAGUCCGCAUGUUCACAUGAUUAAAGGUAUUCCGGUAGACGAUGGGGAUGCGUUCCAUUAGAUAGUAGGCGGGGUAACGGCCCACCUAGUCUUCGAUGGAUAGGGGUUCUGAGAGGAAGGUCCCCCACAUUGGAACUGAGACACGGUCCAAACUCCUACGGGAGGCAGCAGUGAGGAAUAUUGGUCAAUGGGCGAGAGCCUGAACCAGCCAAGUAGCGUGAAGGAUGACUGCCCUAUGGGUUGUAAACUUCUUUUAUAAAGGAAUAAAGUCGGGUAUGGAUACCCGUUUGCAUGUACUUUAUGAAUAAGGAUCGGCUAACUCCGUGCCAGCAGCCGCGGUAAUACGGAGGAUCCGAGCGUUAUCCGGAUUUAUUGGGUUUAAAGGGAGCGUAGAUGGAUGUUUAAGUCAGUUGUGAAAGUUUGCGGCUCAACCGUAAAAUUGCAGUUGAUACUGGAUAUCUUGAGUGCAGUUGAGGCAGGCGGAAUUUCGUGGUGUAGCGGUGAAAUGCUUAGAUAUCACGAAGAACUCCGAUUGCGAAGGCAGCCUGCUAAGCUGCAACUGACAUUGAGGCUCGAAAGUGUGGGUAUCAAACAGGAUUAGAUACCCUGGUAGUCCACACGGUAAACGAUGAAUACUCGCUGUUUGCGAUAUACUGCAAGCGGCCAAGCGAAAGCGUUAAGUAUUCCACCUGGGGAGUACGCCGGCAACGGUGAAACUCAAAGGAAUUGACGGGGGCCCGCACAAGCGGAGGAACAUGUGGUUUAAUUCGAUGAUACGCGAGGAACCUUACCCGGGCUUAAAUUGCAGAUGAAUUACGGUGAAAGCCGUAAGCCGCAAGGCAUCUGUGAAGGUGCUGCAUGGUUGUCGUCAGCUCGUGCCGUGAGGUGUCGGCUUAAGUGCCAUAACGAGCGCAACCCUUGUUGUCAGUUACUAACAGGUUCCGCUGAGGACUCUGACAAGACUGCCAUCGUAAGAUGUGAGGAAGGUGGGGAUGACGUCAAAUCAGCACGGCCCUUACGUCCGGGGCUACACACGUGUUACAAUGGGGGGUACAGAGGGCCGCUACCACGCGAGUGGAUGCCAAUCCCCAAAACCUCUCUCAGUUCGGACUGGAGUCUGCAACCCGACUCCACGAAGCUGGAUUCGCUAGUAAUCGCGCAUCAGCCACGGCGCGGUGAAUACGUUCCCGGGCCUUGUACACACCGCCCGUCAAGCCAUGGGAGCCGGGGGUACCUGAAGUGCGUAACCGAGAGGAGCGCCCUAGGGUAAAACUGGUGACUGGGGCUC
rnacentral:rRNA from 1 species